CUUUUGGGAAAAAUGGACAGACAUCAUAAUAAUAUUGUGCUCUGAUCCAUGAACAUGAUAUAUCACUCCAUUUUUUAGUUCUUCACUUUUUAUUUUUGUAGUUUUUAGUGUGCAGAUCUAUAACAUAUGUCAUUAAAUUUAUCCCUAAGUAUUUCAUGUUUUGUGAUGCUACUCUAAAUGGCACAAUUUUCUUAUUCCCAUUGAAUAUUGGUAGUUUUUACAACUACAAUCUAUUUUGUAUACUGACCUUACUAAACUCACUUCUUAGUAAAAGUGGCUCUUUUGUACACUGCAUAGGAUUUUGUAUUUAGAGAUCAUAUCAAUUUAGUUUUUUUGUAACUUUUUCCUGUCAUUUUAUACUGGCUAGGACCUUCAGUACAAAGUUGGUUAGAAGCAGUGAGAACAGACAUCUUUAUCCUGUUCUGAAUUUAUGGCGCAAAGCAUUUAGUCUUUCACCACCAAGUAUGAUGCUGUCGGCAGGUAUUUUUUGUAAACAUCUGUUAUCAUAUUAAGAAAGUUUCUUUUUCUUCCUAGUUUGCUGAGAGAUUAUGUCAUGAAUAGGUCUGAAAAUUUUCAAAUGCUUUUUAUUUAUUUAUUUAUUUAUUAUUAUUAUACUUUAAGUUCUAGGGUACAUGUGGAUAACGUGCAGGUUUGUUACAUAUGUAUACUUGUGCCAUAUUGGUGUGCUGCACCCAUCAACUCGUCAGCACCCAUCAACUCGUCAUUUACAUCAGGUAUAACUCCCAAUGCAAUCCCUCCCCCCUCCCCCCUCCCCAUGAUAGGCCCUGGUGUGUGAUGUUCCCCUUCCCGAGUCCAAGUGAUCUCAUUGUUCAGUUCCCACCUAUGAGUGAGAACAUGCGGUGUUUGGUUUUCUGUUCUUGUGAUAGUUUGCUAAGAAUGAUGGUUUCCAGCUAAUUUUUGUAUUUUUAGUAGAGAUGGGGUUUCACCAGGUUGGCCAGGCUGGUCUCGAACUCCUGAUCUUAGGUGAUCUGCCCACCUCGUCCUCCCAAAGUGCUGGGAUUACAGGCAUAAGCCACCAUACACUGCCAGGAGGGAGCUCCUAAGCUAGAAACCAGGUGCAAAGGAAAGAUGGGCAACUUUGGAGUCACACAAACUGCUGUGGUAGAUGGCUUAGUUUUUCUUAAAUGAUCCGUGAAGAAUGAGUGUAUGUCCCUGCUCCACUGACUUUUUGCUUUGCUACCUUACUACCUUUGGCCAAUGGAACAUGAGUGGACUUGAUAUACACCGUGUCUGGGCAGAAGCUUUAAAUGUGUGUUCUGUGUUUGCCUCUAGUUCUUCCCCCUUCUCUGAGAAUGGACAUAUUCUACAUAGGGGAUGCUUCUUCCACCUGGGUCCUAGAAUAAGAAGUUACAUGGUGUAGAGACACAUACCACAUGAGGACAAAGUAAAGGCAUGUUGCUUUAAGCUUUGAGACUUGGGAGUUGUUUAUUAUACUUCAAAGCUGACUAAUAUACCUGGAUUUGUCACUCCUGGGCUGUGUAAUAGUCAGAAAGUUGCUUCAUUUAUUUAAUGCCAGCAUUCACUGAUGCUUACUAUGUGAUAAGUUCUGUUUAGACAGUGGUGAUCAAAGAGGAAUAAGACAGAUUCCUUCCCUGGGGGAGCUCUCAGCAUAAUGCAGUUGGAGAGACAGUGAGUUAAGGGCUGUGUUAGGAGCCAGUGCAAGGUCAGAAAGAAGGACUCGAUUCAGUCAGCGAGAUCAGAGAAGAUUUCCUAGAAGUCGUUAGCAUUGGUCCUUCCAGGAAAUACCCAUGCUAAAUCUUGAGGGACAAGCCAGGGGAAAAAAACAAGGGGGAACAUUUUUCUUGCAUAGGAAAUAGCUAGAGUGGAAGCUCAGAUGACAUUCAAACUGAGGGCUGCUUAGGACAGGGCUGGGACAAGAUAGCAUGUGAGAUGCUGCUUCCUCCCUCCUCAAUUCCAUCCACACUCCGAGCCUAGCCAAGAAGCUCAGACUCACAUCCUAAGUGGGUAGUAGUCACACACAAAUGACUGUAAAUUGUUUUGCCUUGGGAAAUGGCCUAGCAGGGAAUUGGCAGCUUUCGAGACGAAACAAUUUUGGAUGGGCCCUGCUAGCAUCAGUCCCAGGCACCAGGGCCAGGACCAAGAGAGGCUCAAGCCCAGGCUGCUGCAUCCUCCCCACAUCUGACAAAGAAUGACUGAUUCUGAGUGAAUAAUUUACUUGUGUUUCCACAUCCAUCAGACCAAACGAAGAGUUUCCUCAACUGAACAGAAUGGAUUGCCCGAGUUAAUCCCAGAGUCUGUCUGGGGUAAGUGAAGCAUGGUAGAAAAGUAAUAUGGAAGGCUGGCUGCUGGGAAAUAUAUUGAGUCCAAACAGGAAAGAGAUGAGAAAGGGAUAAAAUAACAGCCCCGAAGAACAAGGUUCCCAGGUGCUAAAUCCGGUAUUUAACUCCCAAACAGGCUUGAGAUAUUUAAUUACAGUCCUGACCAUACCCACUUACUCUUUCUUUUUAUUUGUUUAUUUAUUUAUUUAAUUUUGAGACAGUUUCUUGCUCUGUUGCCCAGGCUGGAAUGCAGUGGCGCGAUCUCAGCUCACUGCAACCUCCACCUCCUGGGUUCAAGCAAUUUUCAUGCCUCAGCCUUCCAAACAGCUGUGAUUACAGGUGUGCACCACCAUGGCUGGAUAAUUUUUUGUGUUUUUCGUAGAAAUGUGGUUUUGCUAUGUUGGCAGGCUGGUCUUGAACUCCUGGCCUCAAGUGAUCCACCCUCCUUGGCCUCCCAAAAUGCUGGAAUUACAGGUGUGAGCCACUGCGCCUGGCCUUUAUUUUUAUUUUUAAAGUUAUAACUAAGAGCUUCUGGGUCUUGUUAUACUCCUUCUGCUCUGGGCUGGGAGGGAAGCCUAUAGGGCCUCCAGCAGACUUCAAGAUCCCCUCUUAAAUUCCACCAUAUGAGACAACAUGAACUCUGAAAACAUUAUGCUAGUGAAAUAAACCAAUCACAGAAGGACAAAUGCCACAUGCUUCCAUUUAUUUGAGGUAUUUAAAAUAG
ensembl:lncRNA